rnacentral:rRNA from 1 species
GACGAACGCUGGCGGCGUGCUUAACACAUGCAAGUCGAACGGAAAGGCCCUGCUUUUGUGGGGUGCUCGAGUGGCGAACGGGUGAGUAACCCGUGAGUAACCUGCCCUUGACUUUGGGAUAACUUCAGGAAACUGGGGCUAAUACCGGAUAGGAGCUCCUGCUGCAUGGUGGGGGUUGGAAAGUUUGGGCGGUUGGGGAUGGACUCGCGGCUUAUCAGCUUGUUGGUGGGGUAGUGGCUUACCAAGGCUUUGACGGGUAGCCGGCCUGAGAGGGUGACCGGCCACAUUGGGACUGAGAUACGGCCCAGACUCCUACGGGAGGCAGCAGUGGGGAAUAUUGCACAAUGGGCGGAAGCCUGAUGCAGCAACGCCGCGUGCGGGAUGACGGCCUUCGGGUUGUAAACCGCUUUCGCCUGUGACGAAGCGUGAGUGACGGUAAUGGGUAAAGAAGCACCGGCUAACUACGUG